GCCACCUCUUUGCCAUCGGAGCUGUCGUGGAGGUACCAGUUCAGGAUUCCGGUGUUGCCAUAGACGGACUGCUCGAAUUUCCAUGGCUUCAAGCUCGCCGUUACUGUCUCUCCGACUGCUAAUUUGAGGCCUGGAGUUGGAGUGAGCUGCAAGGAGAUCCGUGAUGGAAAAUACUUCUCUGAUCCGCCGACUCCUCGUUUGGACAAGAGCAUGUCGUUCACGAGCGGGAUGAUGUUGCACCUGUAAGAAUUCGAGGUACGUUUUGAACUCCAAUGCCAAAGAUACGUGAGAAUCUUCACUAUUAAUUACUACUAGCAGCAUGAUAGAUCAGUUUUGGAAUCGUUUUUUUUUCCUAGAAUUUUCCUUUGUCUUAGUCGUUACUUUUAGUGCAAUAGAGAAGAAGUUUAAACUCAAUUGUGGAAGAUGCGUGAGAAUCCUUAACAUCGAUUACUUCUGAUAGCUUGAGAGAUCAGUUUGGAAUCAAUUUUGCAAGAAUUUAUCCUUCUUUUUCGUUACGUCUAGUGUGUGAGAGAGAAAAAAUUCGUUCUUAGCAGCACAGAAGUUAGCUUCGAAGUUCAACAUACCUUAUGUUGUCAACGUGAACUCUCAGAUUAAUCCACUUUUCUCGAACCUCAGCCUUGUAAUUGAACUGCAGAACCCCUUCUAGCUGGUGAUAAUUUAGGGAGAGUUGCAAUCUUUCAUUAGUCGAAGGAUUGCGUGAGUUCUCAAUACGAUCCAUUGCAAUGACAGGGCAAUAGAGUUGAACUUUCCACGAUCCAUGUGUUGAAAAUGAACAAGAGAACAAAGGUGAGGGUGUUUUGAGCAUGCAGCUGUUGGCUUUGAGCUCGACUAUCCAGUUGGUGAUUGCAAGGUUUAUGGACCUCAUCCAUUGCUCCUCUAUAUUAGACCCCAACAGUUUCAUGAGCAUCUUUGAUGCCUGUCUUGACUGAAAAUUGGUUAAAUGAUACUUGAGAGUUGUCAGACAAUCCAAACGCAGACCGGUCGGAGCUUCAUAAAUGCAAAUGAGGAAUAGAAGGUUAAGAAAUGUAACAUUGAAAAUUUCUUUUGGGUUGAAAGUAAUGUUGAGUUUGAGGAAACCAAAGCUAAAAUUCUUUUGCUGGUCUGAGCCAUAAUGAAGAACAUCGCGAAUACAAUUAA